AUUGAACGCUGGCGGCAUGCCUUACACAUGCAAGUCGAACGGCAGCACGGGUGCUUGCACCUGGUGGCGAGUGGCGAACGGGUGAGUAAUACAUCGGAACGUACCUUAUCGUGGGGGAUAACGCAGCGAAAGCUGUGCUAAUACCGCAUACGCCCUGAGGGGGAAAGCGGGGGAUCGAAAGGCCUCGCGCGAUUAGAGCGGCCGAUGCCUGAUUAGCUUGUUGGUGGGGUAAAAGCCCACCAAGGCGACGAUCAGUAGCUGGUCUGAGAGGACGAUCAGCCACACUGGGACUGAGACACGGCCCAGACUCCUACGGGAGGCAGCAGUGGGGAAUUUUGGACAAUGGGGGAAACCCUGAUCCAGCAAUGCCGCGUGAGUGAAGAAGGCCUUCGGGUUGUAAAGCGUCUUUACCCGUAGAUGAUAAUGACAGUAUCGGAGAAUAAGCUCCGGCUAACUCCGUGCCAGCAGCCGCGGU
rnacentral:rRNA from 1 species